rnacentral:rRNA from 1 species
GAUAAACGCUGGCGGCGUGCCUAACACAUGCAAGUCGAACGCUCUGCGCAAGCAGGGAGUGGCGGACGGGUGAGUAACACGUGGGUCAUCUACCAUCAGGUGAGGAAUACCGGCGAGAAAUCGCCGACAAUACCGCAUACGCUCGUAAGAGCAAAGCUCGCAAGGGCGCCUGAGGAUGAGCCUGCGCUCGAUUAGUUCGUUGGUGAGGUAAUGGCUUACCAAGACGACGAUCGAUAGCUGGUCUGAGAGGACGAUCAGCCACACUGGGAUUGAGAACGGCCCAGACUCCUACGGGGGGCAGCAGUGAGGAAUUUUCGUCAAUGGGGGCAACCCUGAACGAGCAACGCCGCGUGCAGGAUGACGGUUUUCGGAUCGUAAACUGCUUUUCUCUGGGACGAGAACGGACGGUACCAGAGGAAUCAGCCCCGGCUAACUACGUGCCAGCCGCCGCAGUAA